CCUCAACCCUUAAAAAGAGAGUCUCCUUCAGAGACGCGUUCAGAAAUGAUAGGAGGAGCUUUCCCAAAUUAAACAAAUAUGCUAACCAAGAACCGACUACAGAAAAUCAAAAUGAAAUUUUAGUAAAUGAACAAGGUACUCAAAAUCGCCAUCAUCAGAUAGAUUUGACGAACUUUUCGCCACUAUGAACCAAAAUCUUCUCUCAGUUAAUAAUUUGUCCCAGAGGAUAGUCACCUUAGAAAAUAAACUCGUCUGCCCAGGAGACGCAGCACAUAAAAAAUGAGUAAUUCACCCAUCAAGAUUGCAUGUUUUAAUUGCAAUAGCAUUCCUAAGAGGUCGGAUGAAGUCUAUCGCUAUAUUCACGACAGGGACCUAGACAUUAUGCUAUUAACUGAAACUCAUCUCGCCAGUGGCAUGACGUAUCGUGGGGAACGAGUAGCAAAGGUCGACAUCGGCAAUGGUCGAUUCGUGGCGAACGGUCAGAGGUCGAUUCGCGAACGGUCAUACGUCGAUGCCCGAACGCACCGAACCAAUCGAACCUAGUUCACCAUUGUGCAUUUUAUUUUACUUUUCAUUUUAUCGUUUGUUGCAAAUGGAGCAUUAUGUAUAGGCUGCUUGUCUUUGCCGUGGACGACACUAAAGACCUCUAAGUUUAAGUAGCUCUCUUAGCAGAACGAGAGCCAUAAUGGAUCAGGAAAUUCCAUCAAUGCACCCUGUCUCUCUUUAGUAGGGAGCCGAGGCACCCUUCUAUGACUCAGUCUUGUCACGUUACAGUAUGAGGAACUGCGCAAAAGCAGAUUGAAGCAAAGGAAACUGUGUCGGUAGUAAAUUCUAGGUAUCCUACAUGAAUGUAUUUAUUUCCAAGUAACUCCUGUGGGUAACAAAACGUUGGCUUCCACAUCAAGAAUAAAGUUGUCAAAGUAGAGGCUUGAAAGCAACUUACAAUGAGGUAGAUGUAAAGACCUGUGAUAUUAAAGCGUAUUAAAGGUGAUAAGGAACUUUACCAUCGAAGAAAUCUUCAGUCAUGGCGACUAUGACCAUGGAGCAGAGACGUUUCCCUCGCUGUAUAAGAAAAUCUGCCAUUAAAGUUUUUCAAGAACAAGAAAAGCUACAGUUUCAUCUGCAUUUUUCAUCAACUUGGUUCUCAAGAAACCUUCAAUGAUCAGACGCAAUGAUAUGCUCCUUUGGCGUGGUAGCGAGUGGAGAUAAUCUAUGAACUGCUGAAAGACUACUUUUUCCUCAAAAAGUGGAUUUUUCCACCUACCUACGCGAAAGUCGUAGAAUGUCCACUCAAUUAGGGCUCAGACUGAAAAAGAAAUUAAUUAAUUAAUUUAAACUGACUCAAAAACACUUCCGGAUUGAACAGCUUCGAUUAACUUCCCACCGUUCCGACAAUGAACAGCAGUGGCUA